AAAUGGAAAAAAAACUAACUUCCCGUAGUUUUCAAGGUUCCGUACCUCGAAGAACAUAUAGCGGGACCCUUAUAGCAUCAGUUUAUUGUCUUUCCAUCUGUUCGCCUGUCAAGUCCCUUUUUCUCAGAAACGCGUGGAGCUAACCAGCUGAAAUUUAUACCGGAUACUCGGGCCUGCAGUCCCUUAAAGCUGUUAAAAAUUUAAACUUCUAAGACAACGCAAUAAAAAGAUACAGGAGUUUUAUCGCUAAAAGUUUUCGACACUCCCUAGGAAAGGAUAUAAAUAUUAUUAAAAAUAACCUAUUUUGUUCACCCUACCGCACUGUUAAUGACAGCUAUGACGUCACAAUACGGCGCAAAGAUUCCACAGAGAGUACAUUAUACAUAUUAUAUCUUAGAUCCUAUUCUCAUUUGGAACCGAACCCUUAAAAACAAAGACGAUAGGUAUAACGUUUUCGUCCAAGCUUUUAAAAAUCUCUUAAUUAUAAAUGGGCUUGUUUACCAUAUUAACUAUCAAUUAGAAGGUAUAAUUAAUAAUAUCCGCUACACGAACGUUUAUUAGCGGUACGAAAUUCCCGGACGACGUUCGUUCUCCUUUCAUAGUUAGCUGUCAAAUCUGUCAACUGACAGACAGUUAAUAGUUGACAAUCGUAGUGAAGUUGCCUAACGAAAAUUAAUCGAUUCUUUAAAAACAUCGAAUAAGUUAGUAAAGGUAAUGAAAUAAGAUUUAUCGAUUUUAGAUUUGUGGAUUAAAUUGCCAAGAAAAGAGUAAUUUGUAAAUACAUGAUGAUAGUCCUUACCUCUUCCUGCUGAUUAUGGAUGGCCCUACCGGCAUACAGACAUACAGGAAGAGGCACCCUGGUGCAUGCUGUUUACCAAUGACAUUUUUCUGGUUGUGAAUGAUGGACCCGAGGUCCAGAGCAGACUUGAGGUGUGGCAGCGGAAACUGGAGAGUGUUGGCUUGAAAAUCGUUCUGCGAUUUCGGCGGUCUCUCCAGUCCCGAAGCUAUAACGCUUGAUGGCGUGCACCUUCCAGUCUGCUCAGACUUCCGGUAUCUCGGUUCACUCAUUCAAAGCGAUGGUGAAAUAGAUCGGGCGGUCAAGCAUCGAAUUAACAUAGGAUGGAUGAAAUGGCGGCAGGUAACGGGAACCACUUGAGGCCCCCACAUUCCUCUUAAAUUUAAAUUUAAGGGGAAUAUCUAUAAGACCAUGGACUGCUACCUGCUUUCCUGUAUCGAUCGGAGUGUGGGCGACAAAAGGGAUAAAUGAAAGAGUUAAGAGGAAUGUGUGAUGUUACGAGAGCAGAUAGAGUAGGAAAUGAGUAUGUAAGGGGAAGUUUGAAAGUGGCACCGGUUCCGGAAUGAGAGUCAUGACGUGGUGAGGAAGGUGUUGAGUAUGUAUGUGGAUGGAUAUAUCGGAAGAGGACGACCAAGGAAACGAUGGAUGGAUUGUGUGAAAGACGGUAUGGCUGCAAAGAGUGCUUCUUGUGAGAUGACGUCAGAUCGAAAGUUAUGGAAGGAGAAGAUCCCAAAGAUGAUGAUAAUGAUACCUAAAGUCACUUUUGUGGUUUUUGGACAUUGGAAGAUGCGAAAAAGAAAUAAUAACAACAAACAACGGGCUUAACGAAAACGAAAAACUUAACAAAACAAUAACAAAAUUCACAAUCAACAAAAACUUAAAAACUGAAAACAAACACAAACCGCAUACAAGGCAGAUUCACGUCGUUCUGACUUUUGACGAUUGCGAUUUGCAAUACGAUCACAAGAUGGACGUUCCGACUCAUCGAUUUGAUUUCGAUGCAACAGUGUCAAUCUCUAUUGACAAAAGUUCCGUUCCAUGCAUCUGACAUUGGUAUGACAUAAUUUCAUCUUUGUUAAAAUUGACAUUUUUUUAAUACAUAACAGUUAAUAACAUAAAUGAUAUCUGUUCCGUUAUUAAUUAUUUAAUUAGUCUUUUGGUCAGGAGAAAAUAAUUAGUUUCGUUUGCUUCCCCUAUUGUUUUCUUGUGAGAAAAUUGCGUAGCAAGGAGUAUGAGAACUGUCACGCAUAUCGCUUUACGGAGUAUCAACAUUUAAUAACAUUACAUAUUGGCUUGUUUUGUUAUUGUUUAAGAACGACUUUAAAAAAUGUAAAAACGCUCCAAAUUAUAUUUUUAUUUGUGGUGUUAUAACACCGUGCGGUGCAAGGAAAACUACCAAUAAAUCUGUUUUAACAAUUCAUAGAUUGCAGAUGACAAUUUAAAAUAGUGAAUUGCUUUGCAGUAGAUAGCGUAUGAUGCCACAAUAAUAUGCUACCGUUUACGAAUGCAAGUAAAUAUUUAUUUUUACCUAAUAUUGAACUUACAGACAAAAGAAGAGAUACCAUGAUCUGCUCCACAACCAAACUAUUUGGUUGUUACUCGAAAAGCGUUGGCUACAGAAGUGGCUUGAUGUCAUUGGUACUGAAUAUAAUACUGUGUGCUUAUUCAUUAAACUUGAGGCUGCAUGAUGAUGCAGUACCAUUGUCCACCUUGUAUUAAGCAUAAAAAAUCCUCAUGGCAUCUCGGCCUGAAAUGAAAAUUGUCCAAGAAUAACAGGCAUGAUAACUCAACUAAGCUUACGAGUGAAACACCUGGAUGAGUUUAUAAAGAGACUGAACCCGAAACCGAUUACUUCUGUGAAAACAAUGCCAAAUAAAUAUGAAUUAUUGCUGCCUCAUCCGCCAUCUUUAUUUAAUAAGAUCCAGGAAGUAUGUGGUGCCCAGAGAAACAAGUAAAGUAUUGAAUGAGAAAAUUAGACGCCAAGUCAAAACAUCUUAAAUAUGCAAGAUGUUAUUACUAUUAUGAAGAACAAAGCUACAUGAAAAAACGGUUUGCAAGGCUUUCCUUUCUAAACCAAGUACCUAUUCUGAGAUAAUUAAAAAGUUGAACUACGC